GGGGGGGGCGGGGGGGGGGGGGGGGGGGGGGAGGGCGGACGAGAGCUUCGGGUCUAGGGGCGCACGGGGGCGUAACGCGUGGGAACCUGCCCUGAGGUUCGGAAUCACUCCCCGAAAGGGGUGCUACUACCGGGUAAUGUCUGCGGACCAAAGAUUUAUCGCCUUUGGAUGGGCCCGCGUUGGAUUAGCUAUGUGGUAGGGUAAAAGCCUACCAAGGCGACGAUCCCUAGCUGGUCUGAGAGGAUGAUCAGCCACACUGGGACUGAGACACGGCCCAGACUCCUACGGGAGGCAGCAGUGGGGAAUAUUGGAAAAUGGGCGAAAGCCUGAUCCAGCAAUGCCGCGUGAGUGAGGAAGGCCUUAGGGUUGUAAAGCUCUUUUACCCGGGAUGAUAAUGACAGUACCGGGAGAAUAAGCUCCGGCUAACUCCGUG
rnacentral:rRNA from 1 species